rnacentral:rRNA from 1 species
CCAAUAGCGUAUAUUAAAGUUGUUGCAGUUAAAAAGCUCGUAGUUGAAUUUCGGGAUUGACGUGAUGGUCGUGCCUUAAGGGGUAUGAACUGUCGCAGUUGAUUUCUCACCUUCUGGAGAAGCAUGAUGUCCUUAAUUGGGUGUCAUGUGGAACCAGGACCUUUACCUUGAAAAAAUUAGAGUGUUUAAAGCAGGCAUUUUGCUCGAAUACAUUAGCAUGGAAUAAUAGAAUAGGACGGCAUGGUUCUAUUUUGUUGGUUUCUAGGAUCACCGUAAUGAUUAAUAGGGAUAGGUGGGGGCAUUAGUAUUCAAUUGUCAGAGGUGAAAUUCUUGGAUUUAUUGAAGACUAACUACUGCGAAAGCAUUUGCCAAGGAUGUUUUCAUUAAUCAAGAACGAAAGUUAGGGGAUCGAAGACGAUCAGAUACCGUCGUAGUCUUAACCAUAAACUAUGCCGACUAGGAAUCAGACGAUGUUAAUUUUUUAAUGACUCGUUUGGCACCUUACG